GACGAACGCUGGCGGCGUGCUUAACACAUGCAAGUCGAGCGGAAAGGCCACUUCGGUGGUGCUCGAGCGGCGAACGGGUGAGUAACACGUGAGUAAUCUGCCCUUGGCUUCGGGAUAGCCACUGGAAACGGUGAUUAAUACCGGAUAUGACAAUGCCAUGCAUGUGGUGUUGUGGAAAGUUUUUCGGCCAGGGAUGUGCU
rnacentral:rRNA from 1 species